GGGCAGUGUCGGCUGGACCCUGCGCCUGAGCCUGCGGCCGAGCAGGGAGCCCGGGAGCCCAGGAAGCGCAUCGGGCAGAGAACCGCUGGUCCUGGGGACACAGUGACGGUGGGCGGCCGCAGCCUCCUCCAGUGGCCCCUCUGAGGCCGGACUCUCGGAACCCAGGAGCACAGGGUGGAGUGGGGCGCCCACAGGCCGUGGGGUUGCAGCCCAGGCCUGGAGGUGGAGCCAAGUAUUUUCCUGCCUGGAAAUGGACAGCACUCUUGAUCUGAGGAGAGAAGGUGGGGAGCCCCUGCCCAGGCCUCGCACAAAGGCUGCUACAUCUUCUCUGUUUCCAUGGGGGCCCAGAGCCUCGCUGGCCACACACCCCUGGAGCUGACAUCUUGAGCUACACAGAGUCAACAGGAUCGCCUUGAAUCACUUCCCCACCUCACUCUGUACACCGAAGUAGAUGCCUGAAUCAGAGAAGACGCAUUUCUAAUGCAAACCAGAGGAGCGCUCAAGGGGGACCGUGGCUGAGUUUUAAGUCUUCUCCGUGGAGACAAAGUUCGUCAUGACGUGGCACAGCCUCAGUGCUGCCAGAGGAAAGCAGGCAAGUUGGAAUCUGCAAUCGCUGAUAACGUCUAUUCAUUUAAAAACAGGUGAAGAGGGCCCAGGGAUUUAGCUCAGUGGUUUUGUUGCCUGCUGCACAAGCGCAAGGACCUGAGUUCAAUCCCCAGUACCAAAAAAAAGAAAAUAAAUAAAUAAAAACAGGUGAAAAGAAAAUGUGGCCUAUCAACAAGUGAAAGACUAAUGACAAAUCAAAGAUUUUAUACAUUAAUCCUUAAAACUACUAAAAAAAUCAACAGAAAUGGACAAUAGUUAAGAGCAUAGUUUCAAUAAAUAAAUAAUAAAUGUUUAUGGCAAAUAGGCCAUAAGCGUGUAUACAAG
ensembl:lncRNA